GUCCACGCCGUAAACGAUGGGUGCUAGGUGUGGGGGUGUCGACUCCCCCGUGCCGAAGCUAACGCAUUAAGCACCCCGCCUGGGGAGUACGGCCGCAAGGCUAAAACUCAAAGGAAUUGACGGGGCCCGCACAAGCAGCGGAGCAUGUGGUUUAAUUCGACGCAACGCGAAGAACCUUACCAAGGCUUGACAUGCACUUGAAAAACGUGGAAACACGUUCCCUCUUCGGAGCAAGUGCACAGGUGGUGCAUGGCUGUCGU
rnacentral:rRNA from 1 species